UACGAAGGGGGCUAGCGUUGCUCGGAAUCACUGGGCGUAAAGCGCACGUAGGCGGCUUGUUAAGUCAGGGGUGAAAUCCUGGAGCUCAACUCCAGAACUGCCUUGAUACUGGCAAGCUUGGAGUCCGGGAGAGGUGAGUGGAACUGCGAGUGUAGAGGUGAAAUUCGUAGAUAUUCGCAAGAACACCAGUGGCGAAGGCGGCUCACUGGCCCGGUACUGACGCUGAGGUGCGAAAGCGUGGGAGCAACAGGAUU
rnacentral:rRNA from 1 species